GCAUAAACGUGAAGGAGAUGAGAGGAAAACAGACAGAACGAGAGAAAAGCUAAGCAGCACUAAGAGCGCAAACACAAUAUGGCGCCGCACACUCCACCUGGAUAAUUGAAAAACAAAGUCAAAAGAAGAGCUGGCGUACAGUGGGGAAAUGACAAAUCACCUGGAGCAUUGGAGCUGCGGCUCGAAGGACGGAACGAUAACACCGAGCCAAAAAGAGCUGAACAUGGUGAAAGUGUGGUGUGGUCCUCCACACAGACCUCCAGGAGACGCAUCAGUCUCGCUCGCUGCUCAUUAACGAAGAUAUAUCCCAAAUGUCUCUCAUCACCCAUCAUCUUCCUCUGUUUGGAGCGAUAUGAGGAGGAGGAAAUGAUGGCAGAACGAUCAUUUUUGGGUGAACAAUCCCUUUAAGCCAGUGUUUCCCAACCACUGUGCCAGGCUGUCAGGUGUGCCGUGGAAAAUUAUCAAGUUCCAAAAAAUAAGUACAAAUAAAUGAAGAAUCAUUGUGCCGUUGGGCCGAAAACUUGUAUAUCUCUGUAUUUUGUCAUUUUUGUUUAGUAAAAUUAAUGCUAUUGGUCAUCCUUUACGUCUGUAUGUGGGUUUUACAAAUAUCUAACCAAUAAGAAGCAUUUAAAAAGAGGUUUUGCGACUAAGUUCAUUGGCUCCUCAAACCUCAUAACUCCGCCCGCCUCCAUUUAGGGAGUUUAGAGAUCUCUGUUUGUUUCCAAUGAAAGAGUAAAUAAAGAACUCAUGUUUGAGUAUGUACAUCGUUUUCUUUACUCACUAAACACUAUAUCCAUAACGUUUUUUGUAUUUGAAGAGCGUAAAAUAGACUUAGGGCCCUGUUUUAAUGAUCUAAGCGAAGCACAGGUGCACUUAUGGCGUGUCUGAAUCCACUUUUGCUAGUUUUAACGACUGAAAAAAUGG